UACAGAGGUCUCAAGCGUUGUUCGGAUUCAUUGGGCGUAAAGGGUGCGUAGGCGGCGCGGUAAGUCGGGUGUGAAAUCUUGGGACUUACUACCCGAAACUGCAUUCGUAUACUGACCUGUGCUUGAGGACUGGAGAGGAGAUGGAAUUUAGGUGUAGCGGUGAAAUGCGUAGAUAUCGAUAAGGAAGACCAGUGGCGAAGGCGGGUCUCUGGACAGUUCCUGACGCUGAGGCACGAAGGCCAGGGGAGCAAACGGG
rnacentral:rRNA from 1 species